GAAAAUUCUAAAAAUUCCCUUAUGAAUAAUUUAAAAGUAUUUAAAGCAGUCAGGAAAAUGUGAGUGCUUUCAAAACUCGCCUUUAAAAAGGUAUCCAUAAGACUCACAGCUCAAACAGCAUCAGUCCUCUAAUCUCGAUGCUAUUUUUAUUCACUAUUAGUAUAAUUAGUUAUGUGAAUCUGACUGAAGGUAUCACUUCAGUCAGGGAAAUAGAAAAACUAAUUAAAGACAUUUUCAAAUAGCUUUUUGCAGACAAUGUUGCAGUGAGCAAGAGAAAGCAGUCGGGGGAGGCAGUGGGAGCAAUUUUAGGUAUCUUGCAGAUUGAGGAAGUGCUUCAAUUUUUAUUCCUUAAUGUGUGCCACUAUUAAGCCAGUGGGGCAAACAAUCAGCAUUUACUUAAUAUAGACAUAAAGGAAAAGGAAAAAGAAUGAGAAGAUCAAACUACAGCCAGAGCUAGAAGGUACAGUCAAAAACCUUGUUAAUUUAGAUUGCUCUGAGGAGACUCACCAUUUUCAAAAUUAUUUUUGAGGAGGAAACAAAGGACAACACAAUGCCUUUUGAAGUCAGAGUCCCUUUUUUCUUCUGGUAAUGAAGUCUGACAGACUGUCUUUGAUCUUUGAAACAAUCUACAAACUUGUACAGCUUUGAUCGCUAACAUAAUGGACUUGGUGUUAUUUUCCGUGCGUGUUGAAAGUGGGUCUUAACCAGCCUAGUUAGUGAGGGUGCUAAUUGAGAUACAAAGAAUCCUUACUCCGAGCAUGGAAGUGAGGUCUCGCUAGCAGAAGACACACCUGCAUUUAUAUCCUGUCUCUUCAGAGUGAAAGCCUGCGGUGGAGAAUCACAGACCGCAGCACUCUGUAGUGCUGCCUCCCCUUGUCAUAUACUCGUGGUUUUACAGGAUUAACACAAGACUAUGGAGAGUCAUCCUGAAACAGCUGUUUCCCAUUGCAGUGCUGCAACUGGCACUUUGGAAAAUACGGAUACUUCAUGGUUGUUCUGUUGCCAUCCAGGACUUGUCUCAGGAACAAUACAGUAAAGAUGUUUUUCAAGGAAGGCUGCUCCAUAAACAUUGACCAGCACUGGCUGCUUAUGAAGGGGACAGAAGAUUGUGCAUUGAAAUAUGGAGCCUGAGAGCCAGACAGGGAUUGCUGAAUCAUGAGAUAUUUUCUCAUGCAAAGGAAUGUCAUUCUCCGUUUAAUCUUUAUUAAAAUAUGUGCAUAA
rnacentral:lncRNA from 1 species